UGCCAGCCGCCGCGGUAAUACGGAGGGUGCAAGCGUUGUUCGGAUUUAUUGGGCGUAAAGCGCGCGCAGGCGGACUAGCAAGUCAGAUGUGAAAUCUCGGGGCUCAACCUCGAAACUGCGUCUGAAACUGUUAGUCUAGAAUCUCAGAGGGGGAAGGGGAAUUUCACGUGUAGGGGUAAAAUCCGUAGAGAUGUGAAGGAACACCGGUGGCGAAGGCGCCUUCCUGGAUGAGUAUUGACGCUGAGGCGCGAAAGCGUGGGGAGCAAACAGGAUUAGAUA
rnacentral:rRNA from 1 species